rnacentral:rRNA from 1 species
AGUGAACGCUGGCGGUAGGCCUAACACAUGCAAGUCGAACGGCAGCACAGUAAGAGCUUGCUCUUACGGGUGGCGAGUGGCGGACGGGUGAGGAAUACAUCGGAAUCUACUUUUUCGUGGGGGAUAACGUAGGGAAACUUACGCUAAUACCGCAUACGCCCUACGGGUGAAAGCAUGGGAUCUUCGGACCUUGCGCGAUUGAAUGAGCCGAUGUCGGAUUAGCUAGUUGGCGGGGUAAAGGCCCACCAAGGCGACGAUCCGUAGCUGGUCUGAGAGGAUGAUCAGCCACACUGGAACUGAGACACGGUCCAGACUCCUACGGGAGGCAGCAGUGGGGAAUAUUGGACAAUGGGCGCAAGCCUGAUCCAGCCAUACCGCGUGGGUGAAGAAGGCCUUCGGGUUGUAAAGCCCUUUUGUUGGGAAAGAAAAGCAGCAGGUUAAUACCCCGCUGUUCUGACGGUACCCAAAGAAUAAGCACCGGCUAACUUCGUG